rnacentral:misc_RNA from 1 species
AUCGAGGAAAGUCCGGACUUCACAGAGCUGGGUGAUUGCUAACAGCAAUCCGAGGUGACUCGCGGGAAAGUGCCACAGAAAACAGACCGCCACCCUCGCGGUGGUAAGGGUGAAACGGUGCGGUAAGAGCGCACCAGCACCCCGGGUGACCGGGGUGGCUAGGCAAACCCCACCCGAAGCAAGGUCAAGAAGGCCGUACCGUAGGUGCGGCUGCGCAGGCGUUUGAGGGCUGCUCGCCCGAGUCUGCGGGUAGGCCGCUCGAGGUACCCGGCAACGGUGUGCCCAGAUGGAUGGUCGCCGCCGCGCC